UUCUGAGCUGAUAAUCAUUUC
rnacentral:piRNA from 1 species